rnacentral:ribozyme from 1 species
GGCAGAUAGGCAGGCAGAGAAAAAGAGAGAGAGAGAGAGAGAAUGAAGAGAUUCUUUCCUGGUCAGGAACAGCCGUGGAAGGAUUCUUGUUCUUUCGAUUUUGCUUUGUAUUUCCGGUCCAAUUUCUUUUCUUCCUUUUCUUAACUUCGAACUCUAAAAAGAAACGUGAAUGAUGG